rnacentral:rRNA from 1 species
UGAGGAAUAUUGGUCAAUGGACGGAAGUCUGAACCAGCCAAGUAGCGUGCAGGACGACGGCCCUAUGGGUUGUAAACUGCUUUUAUGUGGGAAUAAAGUGAGGGACGUGUCCCUUUUUGUAGGUACCACAUGAAUAAGGACCGGCUAAUUCCGUGCCAGCAGCCGCGGUAAUACGGAAGGUCCGGGCGUUAUCCGGAUUUAUUGGGUUUAAAGGGUGCGCAGGCGGCUCGUCAAGUCAGCGGUGAAAGCCCGGGGCUCAACCCCGGUAAGCCGUUGAAACUGGCAAGCUGGAGUUCGGGCGAGGCAGGCGGAAUGCGCGGUGUAGCGGUGAAAUGCAUAGAUAUUGCGCAGAACUCCGAUUGCGAAGGCAGCUUGCCAGCCCUGGACUGACGCUGAGGCACGAAAGCGUGGGUAUCGAACAGGAUUAGAUACCCUGGUAGU